UGGGCCUCUGCUCAUUUUCUAGUCCGGUUGCAAGUCCCAGGGUCACUCAGAGUAAAGUCAAACCUUUGGAUCGUGAAAAAUGUACAGUGUCCGGCGAUAAAGAUUUAGAAAACAUGAUUUAGGAAACAUCUGUGUCCGAUUUUGCGGAUUAUGCUCCGUUUGUCACAGAGGGGUUUGUCUCAUUGGUCGGAGACUCUCGUCGAGUUCCGAUUAAGAUCCUGCGCGAUACUGGGGCAUCCGAAAGUUUCAUUUGCCAAUCUAUAUUGCCUUUCUCCUCUGUUUCUGAUACGGGGAGUUGUGUACUAAUUAGAGGAAUUGGGCUUCAGUCGUUUGCAGUGCCGUUGCACAGAAUUCAGCUAUUUUCUGGUUUUGUGAAUGGUGAAGUAACCAUUGCGGUGCGUCCAUCUCUGCCAAUAGAGGGAAUUGAUCUGAUAGUGGGAAAUAAUUUUGGUCGGGAUUGUGUUUUUCCGGAUCAGGUAUCACCUCCGCCGGUGGUUAAGACUGAGGCUACACCGAAAGCCGAGCCAGAUAAGUGUCUAACAGAUUUUCCAGAGGUUUUCACGGCAUGCGCUGUGACGCGCGCAGUAGCCCGUGCGCAGGCUGCUAACCCGUCUGAGGUAUCUAAGAACACGUCUGCUCAGGUGUUUAUACCCCAUUUUCCCGCACCACUGUCUCGUAAAGACAUUGUUGAUGCUCAGAAGUAUGACCAGAAUUUACAGAAAUAUCUUGCCUUCACUGCGGAUGACAAACAUUUAGAUCAUGGUUACUUUGUGCUGGAUGGUUUGCUGCUUAGAAGGUGGUCACCUACUGCUGAUACUGAGGUGGCAGAUCAGGUCAUGCAGGUGGUGAUGCCCGAAAAGUAUCGCGAAGUAGCACUGAAAACAGUUCAUGGGGAAACGUCGGGUCAUUUCGGGGUAAAGAAAACCUACAGUAAAUUGUUACAGCGUUUUUACUGGCCACGGAUAAAGAGGGAUGUAGCACGGUUUGUUCAGGCUUGUCACGUCUGUCAGAUUACGGGUAAACCGAAUACUGUCAUUAAACCUGCACCUCUACAACCCAUUCCGUCCGUAGGCACACCCUUUGAACAUUUGAUCAUUGACUGUGUAGGUCCUUUGCCCAAAUCAAAAUCUGGUUGUGUUUAUCUGUUCACCGUCAUGUGUCAGGCUACCCGUUACCCUGCUGCAUUUGCAUUGAGGACAAUUACUACGAGAUCUAUUGUAAAGUCUUUGUCUCAGUUUAUUACAAUUUUUGGCAUUCCAAAAGUCAUCCAAAGUGAUCGGGGUUCUAACUUCACUUCAAAGACCUUUGCCGCAGCAUUGAAAGAGUCGGACUUUCCUCCUCAGACACAGGGCCUUGGUUGUAGACUGGACUAUUAGGCUCUUACCAAAUUA
rnacentral:lncRNA from 1 species